GUAAAAGACAGACAAAUCUAAGUACUAAACAAUACAAUACCUGAAAUAAAAACUUCAUUUAAAAAAAGUCAUUGGUAGCUGGCCCCAUGGUCGAGGGGUUAAGUUUGCGUGCUCCGCUUUGGUGGCCCAGGAUCCAGAUCCUGGGUGUGGACAUGGCAUGGCUCAUCAGGCCACACUGAGGCGGCAUCCCACAUGCCACAACUGGAAGGACCCACAACUAAAAGAUAUACAACUGUGUACUGGGGGGAUUUGGGGGAGAAAAAGCAGAAAAAAAAAAAAAAAAGAAGAUUGGCAGCAGCUGUUAGCUCAGGUGCCAACCUUUAAAAAAAAAAGUCAUUGAUGAGAUUAACAGUAGAUUGCAGACAACAAAAGAAAAACAAGAGUGAACUUAAAUCAUCCCACUAAAGCACAGAGGGAAAAAAAAUGGUAAAAUAAAACUAAUAAAACCUCAGUUACACCUGAAUAUCAAGCACUCUAAUAUUCAUGUAAUUGGAGUCUCAGAAGAAAAGAGAGAGGAUGGGGUAGUGAAAAAAACCAAAAAAUUUUGACAAACUUAGUUCUAAAUUUGAUCAAAAACAGUAACCCACCAAUCCAGAAACAUCAGUGAACUCCAAUCAGGAUAAAUACAAAGAAAAUCAUACCUACGUUCACCAGAAUUAAGCUUCUAGAAAACAAAGAUAAAGAUCUUAACCGCAGGAGAAAAAAAAAAUGCAUUAUGUACAGGAGAAUAAUGAAAAGAAAAAAUGACAGUUGACUUCAUAUCAGAAACAGUGAAGGCCAGAAAAGAAUAGAAUGAUAUUUUUAAGGUCUGAAAGAAUAAAAUUGUCAACCUGCAGUUCUAUAUCCAGUGAAAAUAUUCCUCAAAAAUGGAGGUAAAAUAAAGAUGCUUUCAGAACAAAAAGGCAGCUAAGAGAAUUUAUUGCCAACAGACUCCCUAGAAAUUACACCAAAAAGAAAUUUUGGUUCUGGAGAAAGUUUCUAUAUUAGACAUAUUUUUCAAAAACUUUCUGCUUGAUGUUUCCCUUUAAGUUUUAGUAUACAACUUUUUAUAUUUUACAUAGACAUCUUUCCCUUCUUUGUUCCCAUGUAUAAAUUAACAAUAAUAAUAAUAGAUGACAAAGGACGUGGUGAUGAGACAGUUAUUAUGCCAAAUGCUUUACCCACUAUUACACUUCAUUCUGGCAACAAGGUAG
rnacentral:lncRNA from 1 species